rnacentral:misc_RNA from 1 species
AAACCCUCAACCAUGAUGGACUUCAGGGUCAUAAGGAGUGGCUUGCUGAAGUUAGUUUUCUUGGCAACCUUCUCCAUCCCAACUUGGUUAAAUUGAUUGGUUAUUGUAUUGAAGAUGAUCAGAGGUUACUGGUGUACGAGUUUAUGCCAAGAGGAAGUUUGGAGAACCACCUCUUCAGAAGGUCCUUGCCUCUUCCUUGGUCAAUCAGAGUGAAAAUUGCACUUGGUGCUGCAAAGGGUCUUGCCUUCCUUCAUGAAGAGGCUGAAAGAUCAGUGAUAUAUCGUGAUUUUAAGACAUCUAAUAUCUUAUUAGAUGCGGAUUAUAAUGCCAAGCUCUCUGAUUUUGGACUUGCCAAAGA